ensembl:lncRNA
GCAUAUCUUAAUACUUUAUACAUACUGUGAUACAGCUGUGUCCACAUAUACAUAUAAUACAAACACCACAAGCCUUAUGUUAAUGAACCUGCACUGGCCAGUCAAUCAGCACUCAUUAAAUCUAAUGAGCUUCAUGCUCAUACACACAGGGCUCACCAAUAGCCAAACGUACAAAAGCUACUGAUUACUUAAUGAACAGGUUAAAUACAUGGCUCAAAACUGCUCCAGACAAAAGUGUGGCGAGCAUGGCUGGAUGAGAAAAGCAAUCCCCAGACCUAGUCAAGCUAGCUAGACUAACCUAACUAUCUUCUGAGACAUACCGGGCUCGAGGCUAACAUGCCCCCUCCCCAGGGUAGCCUCUCCGCAGACUAAUCUCUCCAGGGAGUGUGAAAACAAGUUCUAACAAACAGGCCAAAACAACCAUGCUCACUUCCUUAAAUUAGAGCAACUGACCUCCAUGAAAAGCAAGAGUGAGUCUUCCAGCCAUACUUCCCCAGCACUGACUAAAGUACAUUCAAAAGUGCAGCAAAGUUUGCAAUCGCCAAUGCCAGACAUAUAGAAACAGACAAAAUGAGUUCCAUCAAGGAACUUCACAAUUUCAAAAUUUGCGGCUCAAGUCAGCAAUUAAAUGUGCAAAGAAGCCAAGUUGGUCCACAAAAGUGCAGAUAAAGCCACACAGCUUUGGGCAGUGGACUACCCUGAACAUAUACAAGUACAACAUUAUUCUUAAUGGGAAUAAUAACCAGACUUCAAUAUAAGAACAAUGUGCAAAUGCAAACAAAACUGGGACUGCUGGCAAUAAGGUGUUCAUCAGGGUCAAGGUGAUCAAAGAUCUUUAAACGCAAUGGGCCAAUUACAGUGCUGCUAAUGACUGAGCAGCCAAACAAGUAGCCAUGAAAGUGGGUUCCACUCCCACUUGACAAAAUGGCUACUGCAAAGAGGUGAACAAAGAUGAAUACAAAGUGACUUGACAAAUUUGAGACCCCCACCACUUACAAAUAUCAUCUGAUCUAUGGAGUGACUACAUCCCACAUACAAGGGUCACAAGACAAUUUACUGUCAAAACAAACAGUAAUACACAAGUGGCUCAACAAAAAUGGACUGCAACUACCACGACACAAAGGGACACAAUGUAGUUACCACUACAAACAAAUGUUGCCAACUUACUCUAAAGUUGAAACCAAACGUGACCCAACAAUGUGGAGUGCAAGCACCACAAAAGAGUCCACUACCAGUUACUGCACACAAAAGUCUUCCUCAGUUAACAAUCUUACACACAUGCACUCACUUCAUGGAUAUUCUAUCCCGGACGAGCCCCCAAUUUGUUACGCCCCACUUCUAGUUGGCCGUAAAAGGGCUAACAACAAACCACCCUUGACCCCAAAUGUCAAAGGACACCUUUUACAAAAACCCAACCAGUGGGAUUUAUUUACAUAAACAUGAAAAGGACACAACAUUAAGAUAUACAACAAAGUCCAAAACAUAAAGACAAUACAAAAGAGGUGGCCCGACCAGCCAGCAGUCCCAUGACCAAAAGCAUCCCCAUGGGAAGGGGAAUCUGUCGCCUUUAACUCCGGUCCUGACGAGCGGUCCAGGUGCUCCUAAUCAGCUGCACUGAUGCAGCACACCUGAGCAUGGGCUGAGACAUGUCAACAGAACAGGGACAAACAAAGCAAGCCCCCUUUUGAGGAUGAACUGUGCACGUUUAACUUGAUUGUGCCCCUGCACCACCCAAAGACCAAUGCACUGCCACUGCAAGGCCAGUGGGGUGUAGAGGGCGUAACAGACCACCUUCUAUAAAUUAUGAAUUUAGCUGUUGUUGGACAAUGGAGACAGUUGAUCAAUGUUAGGACAUUGAAGAGCGGGUCUGCAUGUUCUAGUAGGAUCAAUGCUCAUUUUCAUUUUCUCUUGAAGGCCAAGAGCAACCCAGAGACAGUACAUAAAGCAGGCAUUAGAUGCAUAAACUCCUCGAGGUAUAUGACUAUUGUACGGGGAAUAGCCCCCCUGGUGUCCCGCCUCCCCCCACCAGGGGGCGCCCUCCUUACAGCGUAUUCCCAGAAUGCAAAGCGAGCCGCAUACCGCUUCUAUUAAAGCUUCAGACUUCCGUCGGAUCCUUCCAUUCCUUCUCAAUGUGGUGGAGUGACUUCAUGCUCUUGAGCUGGCUCUGCCGAAAUGUUGCAAGGUUCGACCCAACGAGAGUGGCCUGAUCCGAUACCCCGCUGGUCAGGCCUAGUGUCGGGUCACACAUCCCUAACCCUUGAGCAUGUGCGCAUGAAAAGAAAGUCACUAAUAUUCGGCAUGAUGUCGAAGUUUGCUUUUCCAAUGGUUAUCCCGAUACUGGUGUUGCUUCAGGACCUGAUGGUUGGCUGAGGGUUGCCUGUGGGGUCUUGAUGAGACUAAUUUGUGCAGGCUGCCAAUCUGCUCUGCUAAGAUGCCAAUCAACGGCCCAAAGACGUCAACCAAAGCAGGCUGUCAUCUGCUGCGCUGGUUCUUUUGCUUCAACCAGUUGACCAAGGAGGUCAUGGUAGACGACAUGAUGGGUCACUGUGUAUAGCGGACUGCAAAGUUAAUUACUUGAUUGCAGGCGUAAUGCCCCAAAGACCACCAGAAUCAGGCUGUCAUCUGCUGCGCUGGUUCUUUUGCUUCAACCAGUUGACCAAGGAGGUCAUGGUAGACGACAUGAUGGGUCACUGUGUAUAGCGGACUGCAAAGUUAAUUACUUGAUUGCAGGCGUAAUGCCCCAAAGACCACCAGAAUCAGGUGUGGAAUGACUCUUGCUCCUGGGACUUCUCUGGAAUAUAUUCCAGGUUCCUAUUAAUUCAUGCUCUGUUGAAAUAAAAAUGUUUUAACUUGAGUCUUAAUUUUGUCACUCUACUGGUAGUGUUUUGGUCAUUGGGCAAACCAAAUAAUUAAAGGUGACGAAGCAGGCAAUGAUCUGACAUGGAUAGAGCCAUUAAUUCCAUUGGCUUUACAACAAGUUAACGUGACCAAUGGCUUCAAUACACAAGUCACUGGGACGAGGGUCCUCAAGCUGGGCUCUUUGUGUGUGUGGAUCGUGUUCGACUAUUGCAAGUGAUUUUCUCCACGAGG